rnacentral:rRNA from 1 species
GACGAACGCUGGCGGCGUGCUUAACACAUGCAAGUCGAACGGAAAGGCCCUGCUUUUGUGGGGUGCUCGAGUGGCGAACGGGUGAGUAACACGUGAGUAACCUGCCCUUGACUUUGGGAUAACUUCAGGAAACUGGGGCUAAUACCGGAUAGGAGCUCCUGCUGCAUGGUGGGGGUUGGAAAGUUUCGGCGGUUGGGGAUGGACUCGCGGCUUAUCAGCUUGUUGGUGGGGUAGUGGCUUACCAAGGCUUUGACGGGUAGCCGGCCUGAGAGGGUGACCGGCCACAUUGGGACUGAGAUACGGCCCAGACUCCUACGGGAGGCAGCAGUGGGGAAUAUUGCACAAUGGGCGGAAGCCUGAUGCAGCAACGCCGCGUGCGGGAUGACGGCCUUCGGGUGGUAAACCGCUUUCGCCUGUGACGAAGCGUGAGUGACGGGAAUGGGUAAAGAAGCACCGGCCAACUACGU